GUGCUCGCUUCAGCAGCACAUAUACUAAAAUUGGAACGGAAUAGAGAUUAGCAUGGCCCCUGCGCAAGGAUGACAUGCAAACUUGUGAAGCGUUCCAUAUUUUU
rnacentral:snRNA from 1 species